rnacentral:rRNA from 1 species
UACAGAGGUCCCAAGCGUUGUUCGGAUUCAUUGGGCGUAAAGGGUGCGUAGGUGGCGCCGUAAGUCAGGUGUGAAAUUUCGGAGCUUAACUCCGAAACUGCAUUUGAUACUGCGGUGCUUGAGGACUGGAGAGGAGACUGGAAUUUACGGUGUAGCAGUGAAAUGCGUAGAUAUCUGGAGGAACACCGGUGGCGAAGGCGGCAUUCUGGACCGACAUUGACGCUGAGGAGCGAAAGCCAGGGGAGCAAACAGG